UUCAUUCUGCGCAUGGCUGCAGUCCACCUGUUAGAUGCAACAGUCAGUUUCUUUCAAUUUUGGUUCUUCCUGACUUUCAUCAUCUUCUUGGCUAGCCUCCCUGCACGAAUCAUUGGUUAGAAUAUCAUCUUUUAUAUCAAAAUUAUCUUUGCUCAAACAAUCAAUGAUAUUUGAAUUAUCAACAAGUUCUGUUUGAUCUGUUUGUUGGGACAAACAGUGUUCUGGUUGUGUUUCUUCAGCAACUCGUUCUAGCACUUGCCAUCUUUCAUCAGCUUCACGCUCUUCCUCUUUUCUUACCAUGUCUUCUCUCCAUUUGGCAGCUACUCGAUCCACUUCCUGUUGGAGAUUGUGCAAAAUUUCCAACAUCUUACGAAAAUUAGUUCUGGGAUCUUAAGGUAUUGCUUGGGCUUGAUAGUCUUUGUAGUAGUUAGCCCCUUUAUAGCCAUAAUUUGGUUGGUCUCCCCAACAUGGACGUACUUCAAGAGCUUGUUCAGCUUAGUCUAUAACAAAACUUCUCGCAGCAGCGAUUUGUUCAUAAAGUUCCGCGAGGCGAAAAGGUGUAAUUUCCUCAUCCAUGAUUCAGAUCUGCGAUUGAGAUGUUUCCGAAGAUGAUUCUGCGCAGAGUGUUCUUUUUUUUCUUUUUUGGAAUUUGGUCCUGAAAAAAAAAACAAAUAAGUUAAAUCAACUCCCCGGC
rnacentral:lncRNA from 1 species